rnacentral:lncRNA from 1 species
AACUAGAGGCUCUAAAGAGCCUGUGUCGCUCACCUUGGUCUAUGUGAAUAUCAAAGGAAGCAGAUGGAUUCAUGACAAAAUUGUGUUUUGGUGAUGGUGAUGUGUUUGUACAUCUUACUUUACUGAACAUUCUUGCUGCUUAAAAUUAUCUCUAUCUAUAAUGAACUUGGCCCAUUAGUUUCAGUGGAAAAUGUUAGUAAAAAUUUACAAAUUUUAUGAAAAUUGUUAAAAAUUGA